GCCGUGGCCUACUGGUUAGCGCUUCGGACUCAUAACCGGAGGGUUGACGGUUCGAACCCCGACCAGUAGGCA
rnacentral:tRNA from 1 species